rnacentral:rRNA from 1 species
AGAGUUUGAUCCUGGCUCAGGAUGAACGCUAGCGGCAGGCCUAACACAUGCAAGUCGAGGGGUAUAGGGAGCUUGCUUCCUAGAGACCGGCGCACGGGUGCGUAACGCGUAUGCAAUCUACCUUGUACAGGGGAAUAGCCCAGAGAAAUUUGGAUUAAUGCCCCAUAGUAUUAUUAAAUGGCAUCCUUUAAUAAUUAAAGUUCCAACGGUACAAGAUGAGCAUGCGUCCUAUUAGUUAGUUGGUGUGGUAACGGCAUACCAAGACGAUGAUAGGUAGGGGUCCUGAGAGGGAGAUCCCCCACACUGGUACUGAGACACGGACCAGACUCCUACGGGAGGCAGCAGUGAGGAAUAUUGGUCAAUGGGCGCAAGCCUGAACCAGCCAUCCCGCGUGCAGGAAGACGGCCCUAUGGGUUGUAAACUGCUUUUCCGGGCGAAGAACACCCCGAACGAGUUCGGGGCUGACGGUAGUCCGGGAAUAAGCACCGGCUAACUCCGUGCCAGCAGCCGCGGUAAUACGGAGGGUGCGAGCGUUAUCCGGAUUUAUUGGGUUUAAAGGGUGCGUAGGCGGCCCGUCAAGUCAGUGGUGAAAACCUGCGGCUCAACCGUAGGCGCGCCAUUGAAACUGCCGGGCUUGAGUUACCGUGAGGCAGGCGGAAUGUGCAGUGUAGCGGUGAAAUGCUUAGAUAUUGCACAGAACACCGAUUGCGAAGGCAGCUUGCCAAAGGUCUACUGACGCUGAUGCACGAAAGCGUGGGGAUCGAACAGGAUUAGAUACCCUGGUAGUCCACGCCGUAAACGAUGAUGGCUCGCUG